AGAGUUUGAUUCUGGCUCAGAUUGAACGCUGGCGGAAUGCUUUACACAUGCAAGUCGAACGGCAGCACGGGAGCUUGCUCCUGGUGGCGAGUGGCGAACGGGUGAGUAAUGCGUCGGAACGUACCGAGUAAUGGGGGAUAACGCAGCGAAAGCUGUGCUAAUACCGCAUACGCCCUGAGGGGGAAAGUGGGGGAUCGCAAGACCUCACGUUAUUCGAGCGGCCGACGUCUGAUUAGCUAGUUGGUGGGGUAAAGGCUCACCAAGGCGACGAUCAGUAGCGGGUCUGAGAGGAUGAUCCGUCACACUGGAACUGAGACACGGUCCAGACUCCUACGGGAGGCAGCAGUGGGGAAUUUUGGACAAUGGGGGCAACCCUGAUCCAGCCAUUCCGCGUGAGUGAAGAAGGCCUUCGGGUUGUAAAGCUCUUUCAGCCGGAACGAAACGGUACGCACUAAUAUUGUGUGCUAAUGACGGUACCGGCAGAAGAAGCACCGGCUAACUACGUGCCAGCAGCCGCGGUAAUACGUAGGGUGCGAGCGUUAAUCGGAAUUACUGGGCGUAAAGCGUGCGCAGGCGGAUUGUUAAGCAAGAUGUGAAAUCCCCGGGCUUAACCUGGGAAUGGCAUUUUGAACUGGCAGUCUAGAGUGUGUCAGAGGGGGGUGGAAUUCCACGUGUAGCAGUGAAAUGCGUAGAUAUGUGGAGGAACACCAAUGGCGAAGGCAGCCCCCUGGGAUAACACUGACGCUCAUGUACGAAAGCGUGGGUAGCAAACAGGAUUAGAUACCCUGGUAGUCCACGCCCUAAACGAUGUCAACUGGUUGUUGGGGGGAGUGAAAUCCCUUAGUAACGAAGCUAACGCGUGAAGUUGACCGCCUGGGGAGUACGGUCGCAAGAUUAAAACUCAAA
rnacentral:rRNA from 1 species